rnacentral:rRNA from 1 species
GGGGAGCUUGCUCCUCUGACGUUAGCGGCGGACGGGUGAGUAACACGUGGAUAACCUACCUAUAAGACUGGGAUAACUUCGGGAAACCGGAGCUAAUACCGGAUAAUAUAUUGAACCGCAUGGUUCAAUAGUGAAAGACGGUUUUGCUGUCACUUAUAGAUGGAUCCGCGCCGCAUUAGCUAGUUGGUAAGGUAACGGCUUACCAAGGCAACGAUGCGUAGCCGACCUGAGAGGGUGAUCGGCCACACUGGAACUGAGACACGGUCCAGACUCCUACGGGAGGCAGCAGUAGGGAAUCUUCCGCAAUGGGCGAAAGCCUGACGGAGCAACGCCGCGUGAGUGAUGAAGGUCUUCGGAUCGUAAAACUCUGUUAUUAGGGAAGAA